rfam:Schistosoma rodhaini strain Burundi genome assembly, scaffold: SROB_scaffold0007654
GAACUGCUGAGGAGUCCCACCAUGGAACGAAACGACCGUCCAGUGC